GUUUAGCCCCGAUGGAAGCGGCAUCCUUUGUGCCCGGGUUUCGGGCACAAAGAUAUAGCGCACGGCGGGUGGAAUU
rnacentral:sRNA from 1 species